GCCGACAUAGCUUAGUGGUAAAGCACGUCAUUGGUAAUGACGCGACUCGAGUUCGAUUCUCGCUGUCGGCU
rnacentral:tRNA from 2 species